rnacentral:tRNA from 1 species
GCGGAUGUAGUACAUUGGUAGUACGCAUGGUUGUGGUCCGUGAUAAGAGGGUUCGAUUCCCUCCUUCCGCC